AUGUAGAUGGGUAUAUAUGGAGGGCAUGGGGUAUGUAGAUGGGUAUAUAUGGAGGGCAUGGGGUAUGUAGAUGGGUAUAUAUGGAGGGCAUGGGGUAUGUAGAUGGGUAUAUAUGGAGGACAUAGGGUAUGUAGAUGGGUAUAUAUGGAGGGCAUGAGGUAUGUAGAUGGGUAUAUAUGGAGGGCAUGGGGUAUGUAGAUG